AACGUAGGUUCCGAGCGUUAUCCGGAUUUACUGGGCGUAAAGCGCGUUCAGGCGGUUUGGCAAGUCGGGCAUGAAAUCUCUCGGCUCAACCGGGAGAGGUUGUCCGAUACUGCUGGACUUGAGGGCAGUAGAGGGUGGUGGAAUUCCAGGUGUAGCGGUGAAAUGCGUAGAUAUCUGGAGGAAUACCGGUGGCGAAGGCGGCAUCCUGGACCGACAUUGACGCUGAACGGCGAAAGCUAGGGGAGCAAACGGG
rnacentral:rRNA from 1 species